GAAUCAUGGAACAGAGAAGACCCAUCUAGGUAACUUGUGAGGAUUCUUACACAUGUUAAUAUCAGUAAUUAAUGGGUUGCAGACAGGACAUUUUAAGAUAGAUUUUCAAAAUAACCAAGUUCUUUUUCAGGCAUUGUGAAUCAACCCAAAAUAAUGAGAACUAACAAAGUCAAAACAGCUUGUUCCAAUGGACAAUGGACACCUACUUGUAUCAAAAAGACUUUGCUGUUCCUGGAAGUACUGUUACUUGUUGAGGGUGUGAUGGCUUCAUGGCUUCGAGGUUACUUUGAGGAGCUGGGGUGCCGGCUGUGCGGGCCCUGAGGGCCCAGGGUCCCUGAGGGGUGGUUGAAGUGCACUCCAAUGCAUCUGGAGGUGAUGUUCUUACUGACAAUGAGCAGGUGACUGGGUUGGAGAGGGAUAUCAUGAUGGCUGCACGGAAGGGACUGGACCCAUAUAAUAUACUACCCCCAAAGGCAGCUUCAGGUACCAAAGAGGACCUUAAUUUAGCCCCCCUCCUUCACCAGCAGUGGGCAGCAUCUGUGAAGAGAAUAGUGCCAUCAUCUGGUUUUGGCUGGACAAAGGUGAGCCCCGGUGAUGCCCUGACUGGAAACUAUUACAAGCUGCCCCACCAGUGGGCCCACUGAGCCCCUGCACUAAGUUACUCAAAAUGUGCUAAAAAGUUUCUUCUUUUUAAUAAAAACUAGCCAUUGCAUUGGCUCCUUCUUCCAAAAACUAAAAAUAAAAAGACUUUGCUUUGUGGUUGGAGCUAUAAAAGAAUUGAUAACCCCGAUACUAAAGUAUACAACCAAGAAAAGUGUCAAAUAUAUAGUUGAUUUAGAACCUGGAUUAUGUUGAAGAAUUUUUGGUGUUCUGAGGGCUAUGUAAAAAUCUUGUAGACUAUGGGUGCUCCAGUCACUAGGCAGAUAAGCAUUUAUUAUACAUGAUUUGUAAAAUAAGGCAUUUAUAAUGUUAAAUAUUUCUAACAAUUCUAGAGAAUGUACCUUUCAAAAAAAUGGAAACUUAGAAACAUAUAUCCCUUGUCAUUUUCUUUCACUUUGAAUCUAUUAAUAGAUUCUUACAAAACAAAAAGUUUAAUAAAAAUUUUCUCACUCAGAUAUUUUGGAA
rnacentral:lncRNA from 1 species